GACAGUGCGAGCGCGACACGUCGCGUGCAUAUAUCAUUGAUCUCCGGUGAGGUGAAUUGAGGGGAAAACGCAUAGCAUUGCUGGAGUGUCCGAGACACAGGGGCAGCCAAGGAUCAGGGCAUAACCUGAGGUCAGAGUUGAAUCCAGGUGCCUGGAUAUGGUACAGCGGUAGCCUGGGAACUCCCAUACUGCCUUUAGUUCUACACAAUCGUUUCGAUCUGAAAGACAGUGUUAACCAGGCAAGUACAGCGGCACAUUAGCCCACAGAACCACGGCACCCUCCUGCCCAGCUGUUGUGCCACUGUCCACUGUCUGAGACUCCUCAGCUCUGUGUGGAGGUAUUUAAUAGCCAUCAUUCCUCUGCUGGCAUGAGGGUGCUGUUGACAGAGGGCCUUGAGAGAACGGCACACCAUUGCCUAAAAGGUCCAACAAGCCAAGUCAUGGGAAAGCACUUAGGCCGUCAAAGUUAUAGCCCCGAGGUUGCUGGAUUGAUUCCUGAUACCGCCAUUUGGGUGAGGGAAAUGAAAAAAAACUCUCCCCCAUCCUCCUCCAUGCCUAAGGUACCCUGAGCAUGACCCCGUCUGCUGCAUUGCAUGUGUUAGGCAUAAAUGCAAUUUUAUUGUGUGCACUGUACAGUGUUAAUUUUGUCAGCUUUUUUUUUUAUUUAGUCGUAGUCUUAGUCACAAUGACGAAAAUCAAUUUUAGUCUUAGUCAUAUUUUAGUCAUUGCCUUCCCAAUUUACUCUUAGUCUUAGUUUGAAUGACGGAAAUCAAUUUUAGUCUUUUCUAGUCAUUUCAGUCAUUUUAGUCAACACUGUACAUAAUAGAACUUCUCCACACACUGCUUCUCUUUUCAAUAUAUAUCAUUGACUGUACAGAAUAAACCUUCUCCGCACACUGCUUCUCUUUUGAACAUA